UUUUAUUCUGCAUUUUUACAUAAAUACCCUUAAUACAUCUCAACAUUAUCUUUAGUAUAAUAAUUUAGACAACCAGAAUAUUUGCAGUCCCGUAACUACUGAAAUAUAUUAUUUUCAUAAUAAUUUAAGUUCCAUAUUUAUCAUACACUAAAUAUUCACACAUUUGGAUUCAUAUUUAAAAAGGAUGCAUACCUUCAGUAAUUUAUCUGUCUAUUCCUAUACCACAAUCAAGCUGAUUUAGUUACUGUAAAUUUAUAAUGUUUUUUUCCUACCUAGUAGGGAGCUUCUACAUGAUAUACCUUUUAAAACUGUUAUUCUUUGUAUUUCUUCCAGAUUAAUUUUACAGCCAUUUGUUAAGCUUCAAAAUUUCUGUUAGAUUAAAGCCACUUUUUACUGAUUGGUUCAUUUAGAAAAUAAUGUGACUUUAAAAUGGUUGGUCACGCUGGGUGUGGAGGCUCAUGUCUGUAAUCCAAACAUGUUGACAGGCCAAAGCAGGAAGAUGACUUCAGCCCAGGAGUUCAGGACUACGCUGUGUUUAACAAAGGUCGUCGGGGGAGUGACUAUGCCCCAGAGUCCACCAUGAGAGUGCUGAAGAGCCAAAGACUGACUUUGCAAAUUGAAGUACCCUGGCUCCCUUGUCGUCUGGCUGCUGGUUGGAUUCUGCAAGGAGAAUGACAGAGUUCUGAUUAUAACAAAGGGUCCCACAAUAGGCUGUCUGCAGGCUGAAGAGCAAGGAGAGCCAGUCUGAGUUCCAAAACUGAAGAACUUGGAAUCCGAUGUUCGAAGGCAGGAGGCAUCCAGCAUUCGAGAAAGAUGUAGGAUGGGAGCAUAGGCCAGUCUCUCCUUUCACGUUUUUCUGCCUGCUUUAUAUUUGCUGGCAGCUGAUUAGAUGGUGCCCACCCAGAUUAAGGGUGGGUCUGCCUUUCCCAUCUCAUUGACUCAAAUGUUAAUCUCCUUUGGCAACACCCUCACAGAUGUACCCAGGAUCAAUACUUUGUAUCCUUUAAUCCAAUCAAGUUGACAGUAUUAACCAUCACAGUUGCCUGAGAAUGAGGAUAGAGGGAGGCAUGGAGAAGCAGUGAGAUGCAAAAGGAAACUUUUGCAGGUGAAGGAUCUGUUCACUAUGUUGAUGGUUGUGAUGUUUUCACAGGGCUACCUACAUGAAAACUUAUCAAAAAAUAUAUUUUAAAUAGGUGGAGUUUAUUUUGUCAAUUAUAUCUCAAUUAAAAAUACAAACAAUGAAACUAUAUUUUUCUUUCAAAUCAUCAGCUCCCUUUGAAUGAGUGAUGCUGAAAUGGUCAGAUUGGAAGCUAAUAGUAACUUUGAUGUUCAACGUACUUCCUGUGUUAUUGUUUUUAUUUUUCUCAUGUCAGAAGCUGUGGACUUAUGAGAGCCUGUUCAUAUCAUGUUUGUUUUUUUUUUUUUUGGCAUUUUACUCUGUUGGUUCUGUGAGGAAAUAGAUCAGUAUAAUAUAUUCAAAGUAUUUAGGCUAUUGCUUCAUUUUGGAUGAGAAUCUAUGCCGUAGCAAAUUACACCUCAGGAUACUAUUAGCUUGUCCAAGUUAGAGACUAAGUAGUCUACAUUUUCUUCCUUCAAACUCCUUUAUCCCUGAAGUCUCCCUAAGGUAAUUUUCUUUGCAGUCUCAAUUAAUUUCAAAUUCAGGCCUUUGGCUGACAGCUGGACUCUUCCAGCAGGGCAUCCAGCUUCCAACAGAGCAUUAUUGAAUGUAACUGCUCUGUCGUUUUGAUUGAGGCUGUGACUUCUCAGUAGUAACUUCCCUUCCAAAGGGAGCUUUUACCUCACUGGAUGCAGAGUAGGGAGACACGGGACAGAGUACAGAGGCCUAGGAAGAAAAAGCCACAAUAGAGCUGCCAUGUCCACAGACGAAGGCAUGUGACUCUUCGUCAUCGUCAACAUAGUGCUUAGCAAAGCUGUUUUUAAUUUUAUACACAAACUGGGUAUAUUUAAAAAUAUGUGGCAGACAAUACUCUCAUUUUUUUAAAUUUAUUUGUCAAAAGUACCUUUGAUGUUAAUUUUUUUUUCUUUUUUUAGACACAGUGUCACUCUGUUGCCCAGGCUGGAGGCUAGAGUGCAGUGGAACAAUCUCAGCUCACUGUAACUUCAGCCUCCUGGGCUUAAGGAUCCUUCCACCUCCACCUCCUGAGUAGGUGGGACUCAGGCACACAUCACCUUUUCAGGCCAAUUUUUUGUUUUUGUAUAUAUAUAUUUCUUGUAGUGAUAGGGGGUUCCACUAUGUUUCCCAGGUUGGCCACAAACUUCUAAGCUCAAGUAGUCUGUUUGCCUUGGCCUCCCAAAGUUCUGGGAUUAUUGGCUUGCACCCACUGUGCCAGGUCUGAUGUCAAAUUUAACAGUAAAUAUGUUUCUACUCUUUGGCUUACUAAUUUUAUUGAUACACGUUAUUCUAAUAAAAAAGAAAUUCUUUAAAAGCUGUAAGUACACGGGUUUAAUACAUCAUCACCUAUAUUUGUUCAUACUUAUUACAUAAAAGUCAUUGUUGCCUACAUUGUGCUGGGGACAAUAUUCAGUAUAUUGAAGUGUCCAACAAAAUAUUUUGAAAGAAAAAAUAAAUGAGUGAAGUCUCAUGCCCUUAUUGAUUCUAUGAUGUGUAUUUAUAAUCAGAUAAAUUGCUUUCAUUGCCUUUCUUUGGGUAUUAUUUUACAAUGAUGUACAUAUACUUAAAAAUUAAUUAUAUUUUUAUUCUUUCUACAGUACUUUAUUUACCAAGUGUUUUCCUGAAUGUGAAUCUACUGAAAAAAGAGGUUCAAGUGAUAUUUUACUAAGAAAUGUGUUUAUUUCUUCUGUAUGUACCAUGAUGGCAGGCAAUUAAAUUAUAAAGAAAUUUUAAUUAUGUUUAGUAAGAAUUGAGAUAUGUAGGUUAUUUUAUGCUAUAAUAUUUUUAUCCUCUGCUCAGUCUACCAUGAAAUGUCAAGUAGGUAGACAUUGUAACCCAAGCAUUUUGUCUUUCAAUUUUUAUAAUUAUUUAGACUACAGUUAACUUGAGUGUUCCUGACUUUCUCUGUGCUUAUUGUUCAGAUAGAGAUGAUUAUAAUUUCAUUUGUAUUUAACGGUAAGUCUUCCACUCUCUAGUCUGAACAUAUUGACCUCAAUUAUUCUUACAAGUCAGAUUAGCCUUAUUAGCAUCAAUCAUUAAUAAAACAUAGGAAAAGACUAUAUUCUAAGCAGUUGCCUUCCACGUGGCAACAAUCAGCAGGACUAGUGUGUUUGAAGAGAGAUAUGUGUUUUCUUCUAAUGAUAUUUAAGGUAUGGAUUAUAGGAUUAAGCCCAUCUACCUAACCAACCUGGAUAAAGGACCGGAGAAUGGCAUUCAUCCUCAUCCUGCAGUACAAUUACUCUUUUUAGGACUAAUCAAAGCUGAAAAAUAAGAACUUAAAUCCUGUCCCAUACUCCCAUCUUUGUACCCCAAUAGAAACUCUGCUAUGAAUAACUGAUAAAAACAUCAAAUUGCAUUAGCCAGACUACCACUGUACAGAAGAAAUACCUCCUUUAUCUUUUCCAAACACACAAAUAUGUGGGAUAUUCCUGCUGAAAUUUAAUGACUCAAUUGUAUACAUCAAGUCUAAUGUGAACUUUCUGCAACAAGCACUGUACUAGUCAUAUAUAAGAUGAAAUAUAUCUAAAAUAAUAUCAGCACAUCUCUCUGAAUCUCUUUUAUUGUGAAAGCCAUCACUUUAAAAUAAAGUAAAUAUAUGAGGGAUUUUUUUUCUUUUUUUUAAAUUUUAUUAUUAUUAUACUUUAAGUUUUAGGAUAAAUGUGCACAAUGUGCAGGUUUGUUACAUAUGUAUACAUGUGCCAUGUUGGUGUGCUGCACCCAUUAACUCGUCAUUUAGCAUUAGGUGUAUCUCCUAAUGCUUUCCCUCCCCUCUCCCCCCACCCCACAACAGUCCCCGGUGUGUGAUGUUCCCCUUCCUGUGUCCAUGUGUUCUCAUUGUUCAAUUCCC
rnacentral:lncRNA from 10 species